CUGUGCUAGACGGGGGACUAGCGGCCCCCUGUAACCCGCAAUCCGCUCAGCGGGGUUGAUGCCUGCCCGAGGUCCUCCCGCACCCCGCGCGCACGGGUCGACGGAGCGAUGAAGGCCGGGUCCCGCGCAACGUUCCCCUGUGAACCCCGUCAGGACCGGAAGGUAGCAGCGGUAAGCAAGCGAGAGCGUGUGCCGCGGGUGCUCCUGGCCGGAGCCACCGGGUCAUCGUGGGCCGUGGAGUGGUGAUCGGAGGCGGGUGCACAG
rnacentral:SRP_RNA from 1 species